UACGUAGGGGGCUAGCGUUGUCCGGAUUUAUUGGGCGUAAAGAGCGUGUAGGCGGCCAAGUAGGUCCGGUGUGAAAACUCGAGGCUUACCUCGAGAUGUCAUCGGAAACCAUUUGGCUAGAGUCCGGGAAGAGGAAAGUGGAAUUCCUGGUGUAGCGGUGAAAUGCGCAGAUAUCAAGGAAGAACACCAAUGGCGAAAGCAG
rnacentral:rRNA from 1 species